rnacentral:rRNA from 1 species
AUUGAACGCUGGCGGCAGGCCUAACACAUGCAAGUCGAGCGGAUGAAGGGAGCUUGCUCCUGGAUUCAGCGGCGGACGGGUGAGUAAUGCCUAGGAAUCUGCCUGGUAGCGGGGGAUAACGUCCGGAAACGGGCGCUAAUACCGCAUACGUCCUGAGGGAGAAAGUGGGGGAUCUUCGGACCUCACGCUAUCAGAUGAGCCUAGGUCAGAUUAGCUAGUUGGUGGGGUAAAGGCCUACCAAGGCGACGAUCCGUAACUGGUCUGAGAGGAUGAUCAGUCACACUGGAACUGAGACACGGUCCAGACUCCUACGGGAGGCAGCAGUGGGGAAUAUUGGACAAUGGGCGAAAGCCUGAUCCAGCCAUGCCGCGUGUGUGAAGAAGGUCUUCGGAUUGUAAAGCACUUUAAGUUGGGAGGAAGGGCAGUAAGUUAAUACCUUGCUGUUUUGACGUUACCAACAGAAUAAGCACCGGCUAACUUCGUG